AGUGAACGCUGGCGGUAGGCCUAACACAUGCAAGUCGAACGGCAGCACAGUAAGAGCUUGCUCUUACGGGUGGCGAGUGGCGGACGGGUGAGGAAUACAUCGGAAUCUACUUUUUCGUGGGGGCUAACGUAGGGAAACUUACGCUAAUACCGCAUACGACCUACGUGUGAAAGCAGGGGAUCUUUGGACCUUGCGCGAUUGUAUGAGCCGAUGUCGGAUUAGCUAGGUGGCGGGGUAAAGGCCCACCAAGGCGACGAUCCGUAGCUGGUCUGAGAGGAUGAUCAGCCACACUGGAACUGAGACACGGUCCAGACUCCUACGGGAGGCCGCAGUGGGGAAUAUUGGACAAUGGGCGCAAGCCUGAUCCAGCCAUACCGCGUGGGUGAAGAAGGCCUUCGGGUUGUAAAGCCCUUUUGUUGGGAAAGAAAAGCAGCAGGUUAACACCCCGCUGUUCUGACGGUACCCAAAGAAUAAGCCCCGGCUAACUUCGUG
rnacentral:rRNA from 1 species